rnacentral:rRNA from 1 species
AUGCACGCUGGCGGCGUGCCUAAUACAUGCAAGUCGAGCGAACAGAUAAGGAUCUUGCUCCUUUGACGUUAGCGGCGGACGGGUGAGUAACACGUGGGUAACCUACCUAUAAGACUGGGAUAACUUCGGGAAACCGGAGCUAAUACCGGAUAACAUUUGGAACCGCAUGGUUCUAAAGUGAAAGAUGGUUUUGCUAUCACUUAUAGAUGGACCCGCGCCGUAUUAGCUAGUUGGUAAGGUAACGGCUUACCAAGGCGACGAUACGUAGCCGACCUGAGAGGGUGAUCGGCCACGCUGGAACUGAGACACGGUCCAGACUCCUACGGGAGGCAGCAGUAGGGAAUCUUCCGCAAUGGGCGAAAGCCUGACGGAGCAACGCCGCGUGAGUGAUGAAGGGUUUCGGCUCGUAAAACUCUGUUAUUAGGGAAGAACAAAUGUGUAAGUAACUGUGCACGUCUUGACGGUACCUAAUCAGAAAGCCACGGCUAACUACGUG